rnacentral:misc_RNA from 1 species
GCAGGAUCAAACCAGGUAGCAUUCCUCAUUGACACCGUCGCUACAUGAGAGCGUCGGACCCGCGAGGAUCCGACACGACCCAAGGCAGCUACAGCAGUCGUUCGUUGAGAGCGAAUGACGCUAAAUUCGGGGUAAAAGAGGCCGUUGGCCUCGUACCCUCUAGGUAUUCCGCAUCCGAGAGAUCAAGCAAUAAUCCGUGGGCCGCGACGACAACCCGACAAGGGAGUGAAGCGGAACACGAAUGUUGCUUUGCGGUUCACCCGACGCCACACCCCGAAGGGGCAGCACUGGGCGAACGGGGGACGAUGGGACGACCGAAUUCCGUUUAGAAGGUAUGCAACACAGGAAAUCCGUACACGGCCAAGGCUAACGUUCGCGCUUGAACCAACGAAUGAAGAGGCGUUGUUAGGAGGACGUCGCUGCUCUAGCAGG